GGUGGCCUAGUGGUUAGAGUGUCCGCCUCGGAUGAGGAAGGUCGCGGGUUUGAACCCCGAACCAAAAACU